GAGGGUGUGGCUCAGUGGUAGAGCACAUGCUUAGCAUGCACGAGGUCCUGGGUUCAAUCCCUAGUACCUCCA
rnacentral:tRNA from 1 species